rnacentral:rRNA from 1 species
AUUGAACGCUAGCGGGAUGCUUUACACAUGCAAGUCGAACGAGUGGCGGACGGGAGAGUAAUAUAUCGGAACGUGCCCAGUAGCGGGGGAUAACUAGUCGCACGAGUGGCUAAUACCCAAUAAUCGGGGAGAGGCCGAUAUCGGAUCAGCUAGGUGGGGGGGUAAAGGCUCAUCAAGGCAAAGAGCCGUAGCUGGUGUGAGAGGACGACCAGCCACACGGGGACUGAGACACGGCCCAGACUCCUACGGGAGGCAGCAGUGGGGAAGUUUGGACAAUGGGUGAAACCCUGAUCCAGCCAUCCCGCGUGUAUGAGAAGGCCUUCGGGUUGUAAAGUACUUUUGGCAGAGAAGCGGUAUCUGCAGAAUAAGCACCGGCUAACUACGUGCCAGCAGCCGCGGUAAUAC